UAUAAUGCAAGUCGAGCGAGCUGAUUAGAAGCUUGCUUCUAUGACGUUAGCGGCGGACGGGUGAGUAACACGUGGGCAACCUGCCUGUAAGACUGGGAUAACUCCGGGAAACCGGAGCUAAUACCGGAUAACAUUUUCUCUUGCAUAAGAGAAAAUUGAAAGAUGGUUUCGGCUAUCACUUACAGAUGGGCCCGCGGUGCAUUAGCUAGUUGGUGAGGUAACGGCUCACCAAGGCAACGAUGCAUAGCCGACCUGAGAGGGUGAUCGGCCACACUGGGACUGAGACACGGCCCAGACUCCUACGGGAGGCAGCAGUAGGGAAUCUUCCGCAAUGGACGAAAGUCUGACGGAGCAACGCCGCGUGAGUGAUGAAGGCUUUCGGGUCGUAAAACUCUGUUGUUAGGGAAGAACAAGUACAAGAGUAACUGCUUGUACCUUGACGGUACCUAACCAGAAAGCCACGGCUAACUACGUGCCAGCAGCCGCGGUAUUACGUAGGUGGCAAGCGUUAUCCGGAAUUAUUGGGCGUAAAGCGCGCGCAGGCGGUUUCUUAAGUCUGAUGUGAAAGCCCACGGCUCAACCGUGGAGGGUCAUUGGAAACUGGGGAACUUGAGUGCAGAAGAGAAAAGCGGAAUUCCACGUGUAGCGGUGAAAUGCGUAGAGAUGUGGAGGAACACCAGUGGCGAAGGCGGCUUUUUGGUCUGUAACUGACGCUGAGGCGCGAAAGCGUGGGGAGCAAACAGGAUUAGAUACCCUGGUAGUCCACGCCGUACACGAUGAGUGCUAAGUGUUAGAGGGUUUCCGCCCUUUAGUGCUGCAGCUAACGCAUUAAGCACUCCGCCUGGGGAGUACGGUCGCAAGACUGAAACUCAAAGGAAUUGACGGGGGCCCGCACAAGCGGUGGAGCAUGUGGUUUAAUUCGAAGCCACGCGAAGAACCUUACCAGGUCUUGACAUCCUCUGACAACUCUAGAGAUAGAGCGUUCCCCUUCGGGGGACAGAGUGACA
rnacentral:rRNA from 1 species